GACGAACGCUGGCGGCGUGCUUAACACAUGCAAGUCGAACGGUGAAGGGGUCUGCUUUUGUGGGCCCUGGAUGAGUGGCGCACGGGUGAGUAACACGUGAGUAACCUGCCCCCUUCUUCUGGAUAACCGCAUGAAAGUGUGGCUAAUACGGGAUAUUCUGGGUCUGUCGCAUGAUGGGUCUGGGAAAGAUUGCGCCUUUGGGUGUUUUUGGUGGGGGAUGGGCUCGCGGCCUAUCAGCUUGUUGGUGGGGUGAUGGCCUACCAAGGCGGUGACGGGUAGCCGGCCUGAGAGGGUGGACGGUCACACUGGGACUGAGACACGGCCCAGACUCCUACGGGAGGAAGCAGUGGGGAAUAUUGCACAAUGGGCGCAAGCCUGAUGCAGCGACGCCGCGUGAGGGAUGGAGGCCUUCGGGUUGUAAACCUCUUUCGCCAGUGAAGCAGGCCUGCUCCUUGUGGGUGGGUUGACGGUAGCUGGAUAAGAAGCGCCGGCUAACUACGUG
rnacentral:rRNA from 1 species